rnacentral:lncRNA from 1 species
AAACCUGAAGUUCGCCCCUGCGAUGUUUUAACGCGAACCAUUUUUUUUUUGUAUUGUCAUCAGCACCGGCUGCCACGGCAGCGAGACAAAACAGAGCUCACAUUUUCCAGCUCGCAGCGAUGCCAGCCCGGUUAUCCCCGUCCAGCCCGACCCCGGCAGGCACCUAGCGGCACAGCACCCUCCCCUCCGGCUGCGCUGAGCCCCCUGGUGGCAAGGGGAAGGUGCGGGGCCCCUCCAGGUCCCCCCAGCCACCACCUCCUACAAGUCCCCACUGCAGGGCACCCACACGUCCCCUCCUGGCCCAGGGGAUGCGACAAUCCCCCCCCAAAAACCCGAGCUGUUUGGAGGGAGCACCUCCGCCCUGCAGCGGGUGCUUCGCUCCUCGCUGCCCCUUUCCGAAGCCCCAGAGGACGCAGCCCAGGGCCGGUGCGGGGCUUUAAGGGGCUGGGUGGGGGCUGCCCCUUAAAUUUGGGACAAUCUGGGAAGCGAGACCCGCUUUGCAGCGGGUGUCACAAAGCCAGAGUCCCAGCACACAGCACGCUUGCUGGUGGGAGCCCCCCUGCGCCCCUUCCCCAACCCGCUCCCAAGCAGCCGCCCCAGGACCCCCCAAGCCCCCCCGAUAGCAGCACCAAGGAGCAAAGUCACCAAACCCCCAGCAGGGGACAGACGGGCUCGACGUGGGGCGCAGAGGAGGGGGUCCCCCAGCUCCAACCCCCCCCCCUUGUCCUGCCCAGGACCCUCAGCCCCCCCCAGCACCCAGCACCCCGGCUCCCAGGCGGGGGUCCCCUUGUCACCAGGGCUGGGGGUGGCUUUGGGGUGCCCCCCCCGGCCCCCCCAGCUGCGGGUGCUCCGGCCGGGCCGCUGCCACACGAGGGUGCUGCAGCACCGCGCAGCGGAGCGCCGGGUGGCCCUGGGGCCGCCAGCGGGGCUUGGGGUCAGAGCCCGGCCCCGCAGCUCCCUCCCCCCGGGUUUUCCAGCAGGGAUUGGAAACGUCUCCCCCCGUCUCACAAAGCGGGGGAACCCCCCAGCCUCAUCCUACUUGCCCCAAAAACCAGAGCCCCCCACCACGCCGCUCUUUUCCCAGGGGCCAAGCCUCCUGGAUGCCUUUACCUGUAG